UGGGUGCUGUUCAAGGGGCCAAGUCCAGUGCCUGUGGCUGCUGCAGCCCAGGCUGAAGACCAGCACUUGUAGUUCUUCACUAAAUGAGGAACGGGCAAAGUGGUCUUCAGAACUUAGCCUGCUCCUAAAUGAAAAGUGUUCUAAUUCUUAGAGUCAUUGUUCUUGGAUGUAGCAUGAGCUGCUGUUCUCUGAAAAUGUCAAGGCAUUCUUUAGGCAAACUGCUGAGAGGAAGGGAACAUCCCCUCCUCUCCUGGAAUUCACUUUGCAAUAUUCUUUCUGCUCUGCAAAAAGCAGAUGUUGAUAAAAAUUCAUCCCAGAUCCCAGGGUGCACUGAAUCUUUGGAAGUAUGUAAUCUUGUGCUGAAUCUCCCAAGAGAGUGUUUCUUCCCAAGAAAAUGAAGACUCCUGAUUUUUCAGCCCUCCUUCCCAUUUGUAGAUGACAGCCGCUUGCCUUGGUGCCUGUUUGUCUUCUGAUUUCUGUCUGCUCUGAUGGUUUUUCCAUGGGCUUAGUUUCCCCUCAAGGCAACCCUGCAAAGGAGUGUGGGAGAAUCAGACUCUGUGCAGAGCUGCCUGUUUUGCUGGGGCUGCUGUUGUUGUUGUUCUUGUUGAUGUUAUCGUUAGCCAAAAGACCACAAAUUGCUCAGAGCCCCAGAGAGUGGAGCUGGGUUUCAGAUCUCCUGCAAGCUCAAUCUCUCUGUUUUGAACUUUGCUUCUUGCAUUUUGUUUCUUUCAGGGUGUGUGGUGAGUGUGGAAGAUCCAGAAAAGAAGUACACUGGAUGGGAACAUCUUGGCAGUGGGGGCUUUGGAGCUGUUUAUAAGGCCUUCGACACUGCCACAGGACAAGCGGUGAGUGCCCAUGCAGAUCUUGCAGCUCUUGAGUGCUUUCCCUGUGAUGUGAUCUGUGGCCAGAGCUUUGGGCCGCCUGUCUUUGCUGCAGAGGCUGUUCUGCAGAAGCAGUCUGUCUAGAGGCAGGCUGCAAAAUGCAUUUGGGACAGACUUUGUCCUUCCUACCUACCUGAAUGAAUGCAAGGAUGGCCGUGGUGUCUUUCAGAGGACACGCUAGCUUGGAGUUACUGGAUAAAUGUGCAUAGAUUAGCUGAUGGCAAGAGCCAUCAUUCCAGCCCAAUUCCUCUUAAGCCCAGGAUCAGACACAGAUAUUUUGUUUUCUAUCACGUGAUUCAGUUGGAAAAUACAAUGCAAGCCCUUCAGAAAGAGAGAUCUUGUCUGGAGCACAGUUUUGCCUUUCAGUCCUAGGGAACCUAGUUCACAUACACACGCACCUACACACACACACACACACACACACACACACACAGAGACACGUGCACAGAUGAAUGAGAAGAAGUUGAUGAAGAGCCUUAAAUAAUACAACCUUGUGUUGAUCCUGUGUUCCACUAGAGAGAUGCUCUCUGUUCUGAACAGGCAUGGUGGUGUCUUGGAGAGUCUUGCUGCUCUUUGGGGCUAGAAGUUCCAAGUCCUGAAUUCUCCUUUUUGACUCUCAGGAAAUACAUUCCAUCUUCCUUAAUAGUAAGGAAUUAGAGAAGGUAGUUCCUUAUCCACCUGCAGAGCUGUGCUCAGGAACUGCACUUGGAGGGAGGUCUCAGAGGCGUCCAAAAGCCCCAAGCCCUGUACUUAGAACCUGGGGCACAUCCAUAGUGUACCACAGAAAGGGGUAUUCAUUUUUAAACCCAUUCAAUAAUUUCAAGUCUAAAGAUUGUUCUUCAAAGUUGCAAAAGCCAAACUGAAGAAGUGAGGAUGUGCUGGGAUUGUAACUUUACCUUGAGUCGCUUUGCAGUUCUUUUUUGACAGCAUUUUCCCCAUCGUGUUUUAUGUGUUUACUCUGGCACACAAUUGAAUUGGCAGCCAUCUCUUCACAGGAGAAAAAUUACUUUUGGCUUCCAAAGCGUGUGUAAAUGAUAAUAGUAGUGCUAAAUAAAGUCUGUUUGAGAAGCCUGCAGGUGCAGAGGGUGGUGUUAGCGCUUUGUGGUUGAUGGUUUAGAGUCCCUUUUUUCCGAGGUGACAAGGCAUCCAGGCCCAUGAGGGCCAGAGAAAGAGGCUCUGGUCAUGUCUGUCCCUAAGAGCUUUUGAAUGUCAUUGUAGGUGGCUGUAAAGGAACUUUAUCUCCAGCACCAGGGCUGUGAGGGAGUAUUAAAAGAAAUCCUGCUCAUGAGAGAAAAUAAGAACGCCAAUAUUGUCAGCUACUUAGAAAGCUACCUUGUGGAUGAGGCUGUCCUGCUGGUGUUGGAAUAUAUGGAUGGAGGCUCCUUAGCUGAUGUGGUCACCGUGAGAAGGAUGGCUGUAGGACGCAUAGCAACAGUGUGUCGGGAGGUAAGGGGUCCUGCUUGUGCUUGGGAUGGCUUGGACAAGGCUAGUCCUUUGAAAGCACUGCAAAGUGAGUGAUUCCAUGUUCAGAGCUUUCUUUCUGUGUUGCUCUUCUGCUUCAGAGAAGAAAGAGCAUCUGGACUGAACUGCCUGCCAGUGUCCCUGCCCUUCCUGUACUCUGUUCUUCACUCUUAUCCACUAUCAUUGAACUCUCUGUCUCUUUUUCCUUUUUAUUUUCUGUUCUGCACUUUGCCUCCCCAAGCCUUUGCCCAGAGCCUUUCUGCACUGCCUUCUUUGCCUGUAAGUGCAAAGGUGCUGCUGUGAGAGUUUUAAACCAGAGGCCAAGCCAAAGAGAGACUCAUCUGUCACAGGUCUCCACUCCAAAGGAUGGCACGGCACCCAGCAUGGUGCUUGCUGCUGCAAACUGACAAAAGAGCUACUUCCAAGUCUGCUGUUGAGGCAGCCAUAGAACCCUUGUCCUCCAGUCUCCCGACCGACACUGAUCCCCUUGGUAUCCAAGGCAGGGACGUUUUCCUCUUUUGGCAAACCAUUGUUUGUCGUCCGGACGGGGAGAGCGCAUCCGCUGCAGCAGCGCUCAUUCUGACUGGCUUUGCAGGGAACAGUCUGGAGCAACGACUGACUGAUGCUUCCCCCUCCAAAGCUAAUAUGCCUUCCCUUGGAAAGAUCCUGCUCUCCUAGUGCUGCAGCAGCAAGCUCUUCCUCUUGCCAGAACUCACUGCUCCUUGGAGAUCUGAGAAUCUUCAGGAGCAGCCUCCUUUUUCAUGUGAUGAAAUCAGAUCAGGGUAACUUUUGGCCGCCUGUUUCUUUUUCCCCUGGCAGUGCCUGCAAGGCCUGGCUUUCCUUCAUGCCAAGCAGGUGAUCCACAGAGACAUCAAAAGUGACAACAUCCUUCUGGGCCGGGAUGGCUCCGUCAAGCUGGCUGAUUUUGGCCUCUGUGCUGUGCUCAGCCCUGAGCACAGGAAACGGAGAUCGAUGGUCGGGACCACUUACUGGAUGGCACCCGAGGUGGUGAGAAGAGAGCCUUACGGCCCCAAAGUGGACACCUGGUCCCUUGGGAUUGUGGGAAUAGAAAUGGCCACAGGAGAGGCUCCUUAUAUGCAGGAGACCAGUGUCAAGCAUCCAUUUCUGCAAUCAGCGGAGCCUCUCUUAAGCCUCUUCUGACAGCCUGAUUGCUGCCAUCCCUGCAGCAAGGGAAUGCAAGAAGCAAAGGAGAUGACAAGGUGUGAGAGUCUGUCCGAAACUUCCCUCAUUUUUUGCCUCUCGAUCGUCAUGAAAGCCAAGACCACCGGGGAAAGGGAAAGAUCCUGUUCUGAAAAUCCAGGUCUGUCUGGUCCACCAAGCCAGAUUAUUGCCUACGGGUGUGUUUGCUCAACUCAUGGAACACUGCACCCAAGAAGGGGCAGUGUGCUCUCCUUCGCCUGCAUCACCUAGCAACGCUAGUGCUGGAAUUUCUCCACCCUUCUGACUUGGCUGGACUUUCUCUCUGGAAUGACCUUUCCGGAGGUCGCCACAAAAGGACCCUCCAUUCACCGUACAUCAACCACCGUGACAGAUGGACUGAGAUGGGAGAAGGUUCUCCCCUCAAGGACUGAGACGUGCGACCCCUACCUGGAAAAGCUCCCCUCUUUUCCCAAAAGGACUAAGACUAAAAUCCCCACCGUAGGGUGAGGGAAGGUAUGCGUGGGGACCGGAGCAAGUUUUGCAAGCGACCACUGGACCGA